GUCACAAAGAAGACUUCUUAUAAAAACCGUGGCACGAAGCUAGUUCCCCCUCUUUGUUCAGCGAACUUUUGUCUGGUGGAAAUGUUGCAGUGCAACAUGUCUUCUUCAGAAAGUUGCUUUGUGAUUGCAAGCAUAGUUUCCAGUCUGCCUCGUGAUGGGUUUGCUGGAGCACGUGGCCUCGGAUGAUUUGCGCCAUUGGCGCUUGUAAGUGUUACACACGUUAUGAAUCGCAAUGAACGCGACGAAGAGCUAAGUUUGUGCUGUCGCCUAUGGUAAGCAUGAAGUUCCCAACUAGAAAGAUGUUGUGGCCUCAUAAGAGGUGCAAGAAGUCCAUUUGGUGUAGAUUGGACCGCUCUCUGUGGCUUCAUGUAUGGCACUACUGCGCAAAUGUGAUGUUUAAACUCUGAAUAUAGUUACAGAAUUUUGUAUGCACUUUAGAUGCAUGGAUGAGUGUCUUUCUCAAUAAAAAUGUGAACAACCUUCA